AGAGAGAGACAUGCGCGCAUAUCAAUAAGCGGAGGAAAAGAAACUAACAUAGGAUUCCCCUCAGUAACGGCGAGUGAAGCGGGAAGAGCUCAAAUUUGAAAUCUUAAAGGGUUUCCCUUUACGAAUUGUAGUUUAAAGAAGUGUUUUCUGUUGAGGUUUCGGUAAAAGUUCUUUGGAAUAGGACAUCAUAGAGGGUGAGAAUCCCGUAUUUGACCUUUACUUUCAACUUUGUGAUACACUUUCAAAGAGUCGGAUUGUUUGGGAAUGCAGUCCAAAAUGGGUGGUAAAUUUCAUCUAAAGCUAAAUACUUAGCGAGAGACCGAUAGCGAACAAGUACCGUGAGGGAAAGAUGAAAAGAACUUUGAAAAGAGAGUUAAACAGUACGUGAAAUUGUCAAAAGGGAAGCGUUUGACACCAGUGUUGUUUUUCUGAAAAUCAAUUAAAGAACUGUUUAUGCUAAGUUGUUUAGACUUUAUCAGCUAUCUGUUUAGUUUUGAGCUUUUCUUUAAUGCACUUUUCAGUUAACAAGUCAACAUCAAUUUCUUUUGCUGUAAAAAAGCUUGAGGAAGGUGGCUUGAGAUUCGUCUUAAGUGUUUAUAGCCUCUUGCCUAUGCAGUCGGAGAGAUUGAGGUCUGCAGCGUAGAUCCUUCGGGGCUAAAUGCAUUUGUGCUAAGUUAUAGCAUUUUAUAGACAACUUGUUGACUAUGAUUUGUCUUGUAGCUUACUCGCUUAUGCUAUUUUACCUACGCUUAGGAUGUUGAUGUGAUACUGCGAGCA
rnacentral:rRNA from 1 species